GAUGAAGGAAAAGGAAAAGAAAUCAGCAGAAAAGAAAAGUUCAGCAGUAAGGUUGAAGAGGUCCUAGUUGUCCUUGACCGGCUUUGCCCCAAGAUUUUCCGCCGUAACCGACUUCUCUGGAUUGUUUUGACGUUAUUCCUGGUCACGUUUCUGGUCGUCAAUGUUUUCACAUACUUUAGUGAUCGCUAUAACAACCAUGGGGACAUGUCGGCAGAAAAAGCCAUGGUCCAGGGCAAGAAGAAGAUCUUUGAACUGAAUGUAGGAGUACAGCCAAAGAAUCCCACUCCAGAAUAACAAAGAGCCUGUCUCAUACUUCUCUCAGUCCACAGACAAUUUUUCCCAUGAUACAUCACCAUACAAGAGCUGAACUUGAAUACAGGGUUUCGAAGGGUUUGGGGAUGUAUCUUUGGGAGUGUUUAUUGAGUUUUUUAUUGGUUUCAGAGGAUAAGCCUUCUAAUGAUCAUAAACUUUAUCAAGGCAUAUUUAUGUUGUGUUAGGAAAGCCGCCUGAAUGUUUCUGAUGGUGAUGUAUGAUUGUUGCUUAGGGGGCCAAGUAUAAUAGUGUGAUGAAAUAUGUUCUUAUCUACAGUGAGAUCCAGGACUUCGGAUUUGAAAUGAUACAAUGACUAUUAGGUGAAAAUGCAGACUGUCAGCUUUAAUAUGAGGGCCUUUCCAUCCAUAUCAGGUGAACUGUUUAGAAAAUACAGCACUUUUUGUAUGUAGUCCCCCCAUUUCAGGGAGCCAAAAGUAUUUGAACAAAUUCACUUAUAUGUGUAUUAAAGAAGUUUAAAAUGUCAUAUUUGCCUUGUGACUCUACUAACCUGUUGGAUGCAUUCACAGUUUGUUUUGGUUGUGAAUGGUAAAUAAUGUAUUGUGUCAUGGAGUUGUAAAUAAGAAUAUCAUCUUUUUCUGAACACUUCUACUUUAAUYUGGAUGCUACCAUGAUUACGGAUAAUCCUGAAUGACACAAUGAACAGAAUGAACAGGGAGGGUUAGCAUUUUGGAGGGGAAUGAAUCAUUAUUCCCGAUUCAUUCAUAAUUAUCAUGGUAGCAUCCACAUGAAUUUAAAUAGGGUUUAGAAACAUGUUCUAUUCUUAUUUACAAUAAAAGUGACUCCAAAAUACACAAUACAUUAUUUACCAUUCAUUUCUCUUUGGCGCAAAAUAAUCUGACACACAAACUGCAAAUGCAUUCAACAAGUUUGUAUUCACAAGCURGAUGUAAUCAUUGUGUACUAUGAAUAUGGGACCAUAUACUACACUUUUGGCUACUUUAAUACACAUAGAAGUGAAUUGGUACAAAUAGUUUUGGUUCCCUAAAAUGGGGGGACCUUGCACAAAAAGUCCUGUCAUUUUUAAACGAUUCACCCGAUAUGGAUGAAAAUACCCUCAAACUAAAGCUGACAGUUUGCACUUUAUAGUCUUUAUCAUGUCAAAUCCAAAGUUUUGAAGUACAGAGCCCCAAAAAAUAUAUAUUUGUCAUUGUCCAAAUACUUUUGGACCUCACUGUAUAUAUUCACAAUGUAUUGUUAUUAUUCCUUGUCCUAUUCUAAAUGUCAUCCUGGAGGACUGAAUGUGGCCCCUUGGGUGAAGAUGGAUGAUUCCUGAUGAGUUCCCUAAGACAAAUGUCACAGUAGACAUUAGACUAAUGUACAUUAAUCUACCACUCUGUUACUUUUAUGUUCAUUCUCUCAGGUCCAGUAAGCGGACAUCCCCUGAAGAGAUUUACAGAGAUAUUUAAAGAGAUAUGUUUUUUAAUUUUUUGAAAAUAUUUAGUAAAAUAUCUAUAUUUGUGGUAUUUAAGCAGAUACUUUUUGGAAAAAUCUAUAAUACAAGCACAUUCCAAAGUAGUUCCUCAAGUGCAAUAUUUAGCAGCUGAUGGUUCUUGUUUGUAUGUGUUGUUACUGUGUUGGUUUGCGUCCUCCGAGCACUAAAAGAUUUCCUUCAUGUACGAGAGCACUUUUAGACAGCAUGAGAAAUGUUUAAUCUUCUUCGCACUUGUGUGCCAGGAUUUUCUGUUGUGUCAUCUUCGCCUUGAAAUAAAGGUGCCUUAAAACUCCCAGCAUUCAUUUCCAUAGUGAAUAAUGUAUGUCAGACAAACAGGUGUAGUUUACAUGAAGCAAACAGGUGUAUUGGCAGAAUUCUCAUGCUAACCUCGGUGGAAUGAGUGACACAGUAAUUGUAUUUUUCAACACAGUGCUUGUUCCCUUCCGCCCUACACUUAUGAAAAUGAAAGAUCUUUCAUAUCUCUCAGGAAACCACUUAUGUAAUCUACUUGGCUCCAAUAAGCUGUAGCUGCAGUGUGUCAAGGCUGCUUGAGUGAUUCUCUCUAUUUUAAUAUUAAAUUAAUGUCACAAAAGAAAAUAUAGAUGUCCUCUUUAGAUGUCCAUUCUUUUGGGACGUUUAAAUGUCACUGACUCUUCUCAUACGGCAAAAAACAACUUUUGCUUAUUUUUCAGUUCUGCCUGCGUCAUUUCCUGCUGUACUAGGUUGGGGUGAGGUGUUUUGCUGGAAGUGGGAUUUUGCUGUGUGUCAGAGUCAUAUCAGAGGAUGCCAGGGAUCAUGAGCUUGUUAAUGACUGAGCAAUGGGCAGAUGGAGGAAAUCAUUGUGUGAGGUGCCAAAGUCAAUAAAAAAGAAACAAUUUCCCCAACAUC